rnacentral:miRNA from 1 species
AAGGUCAUGAUCUUUAGCGGCGUU